AUCCUCGUUACCUCUAAUUGGAGGUCAUAUUUAAGUUGAUGUUUGUCCCACCUGUUUUUGUGGGUGAUUAAUCUUUUGAAUAGUGUUUUCCUCUCUGCGUCACGGUUUGUUUUUUUGUGUUUCAAGUAUUUAGUGUAUUGCAUUUAGUUUCACGGAAUAAAUAAAUAUGUGGAACUACGAACACGCUGCAUUUUGGUCCGAUCACUUGAACAGCCGUGAUAGUGAUAUAUGGUCUCAUUUAGCUAUCAUAAGAUGACUGCAUUUACAGAUGCCAUCUUAAUUUGACCCAGUUUCUCACAGCAGGGAAAUAAUCCUGCAGCAACAGGAAAUGUGGAUUAUAAUUAAGGGACAUUCUUUUGUAGGGGUUGAUACAUUUUCAUUAGGGCAAAUCAAGUCUGACAUUUUUAAGUGGAAAUUACACCAUUUAGAAGCCUUGUAGUGAUAUAAUUUAUUUAAACAAUAAAAUCUAAUUUACCUACAUUUAUAAACAACUGAAAUAUAGAGUUUUGGAAUGAAACUGUUCUUAAGUUUCCCCUUCUGAACUCAGAGUAGAUGUGCGAUUGAAGGUUUUUCUCUGUUUUGAAGUCCAAUCAAGCAGGAGAGACCAGCCUCCCCUGUACCCAGCUGUGUGUCCAUGAAGAGUGACCGGUCUAUGGAACUUACUCCUAUAGACCUUUCUACUGAACAAAGAAACCAACAGGAGAGAUCAGAGUCAGAAAUUCUCAGUGGUCAGUCUUCCCAGAGUUAUCAAACAGACCUGGCCUCCAUAUUCAGUUUGCUUGAAGAGAAUAUCAUGACAUUUGUGAAGAAUGAGCUGAAGAGGUUCAAGAAGACUCUCAGUCCAGAACUCCCACAAGGCUUUGAGAGUCAGAAGCAGGUUAAGGAAGAAGUGGAUGCAGGAGAGGAGUGCCAAAGAGGGGGCUCUGAAGAUCCCAAUGCACGUCCUGAGAAAAAUGAACCAGAAGGAGCUUGCUGACACACUGGAUAAAAAUGAGCUUGCUGUGAUUUGCCAACGUGAACUCAAAUCUAAUCUAAAGAAGUUUCAAUAUGUAUUUGAGGGGAUCGCUAAACAAGGAAACCCAACACUUCUCAAUAA